rnacentral:rRNA from 1 species
GAUGAACGCUGGCGGCGUGCCUAACACAUGCAAGUCGAGCGUGAUUUAUGAGGACGAAACUUCGGUCUAGGAAUCAUAAUGAAAGCGGCGGACGGGUGAGUAACGCGUAGGCAACCUGCCCUUGACACAGGGAUAGCCUCGGGAAACCGGGAUUAAAACCUGAUGACGCCAAACAGUCACAUGGCUGUUUGGCCAAAGAUUUAUCGGUCAAGGAUGGGCCUGCGUCUGAUUAGUUAGUUGGUGGGGUAACGGCCUACCAAGACGACGAUCAGUAGCCGACCUGAGAGGGUGAUCGGCCACAUUGGAACUGAGACACGGUCCAAACUCCUACGGGAGGCAGCAGUGGGGAAUAUUGCACAAUGGGCGAAAGCCUGAUGCAGCAACGCCGCGUGAGCGAUGAAGGCCUUUGGGUCGUAAAGCUCUGUCCUUGGGGAAGAAACAAAUGACGGUACCCAAGGAGGAAGCCCCGGCUAACUACGUGCCAGCCGCCGCGGUAA